CAGCCGCCGCGGGAAUACGUAGGGUGCAAGCGUUAAUCGGGAUUACUGGGCGUAAAGCGCGCGCAGGCGGCUAUGCAAGACAGAUGUGAAAUCCCCGGGCUCAACCUGGGAACUGCAUUUGUGACUGCAUGGCUAGAGUACGGUAGAGGGGGAUGGAAUUCCGCGUGUAGCAGUGAAAUGCGUAGAUAUGCGGAGGAACACCGAUGGCGAAGGCAAUCCCCUGGACCUGUACUGACGCUCAUGCACGAAAGCGUGGGGAGCAAACAGGAUUAGAUACCCCCGUAGUCCCUGUCUCUUAUAC
rnacentral:rRNA from 1 species